GGUAGAUGGGCCAAGACCCUGGCCUUGAUGAAGGAUUGAUGAGCGGACCAGGGAGCCUUGAAGAAAAGGCACCAAAAAGCCAACAAGGUAACAAUAACAACAAGAGUAUGGAUCAGCAUUCAUCAGUCCCUUCAUUUUGCAAAGGGAGUGCAAGAAACUGUGAGCUUUUGGCCAGAAGAUGACCGGUCGCCUGUCAUCCACCACUCACGGGACAGGGGGAGAAAGACAGCGGCAGCGAACGAGGGACAGAAACAAAGGGCACCUGCUACAGGCGAACCUGGGACACGUGUCUAAAAAUAACACCUGCAGCUUCCUCUUUGGCUUUAAUUAUUUUAACACCCCUGGUGAGCUGUCUGCGAGCGCGGAUGGGAGCAUCUCCAGAGCCUCUCCGGCAGCCCCUGACGCUUGGUUUGUUACUUUAUUUAAAGCUGACACCCAGCGAGGGAGGGAAGCAAGAAGCUGAGGUCCAGGAGGGACAUGGGGAACAACGGCACAUCCACCUACGGCUGUCGGCAGGACGCCAGCUCCCCAGACAGCACGGCUACAGAGGAGUCUGAAAAGCGCCCCACGCUCAGACCUCCCGCCCUGCCUUCUCUGCAGGACCCAGCUCUUCUGAGCGUGAAGGCGGAGCUCGUGUCUUUUCUGCGGCACCAGGAACACAGACUCCAUCGGUGGCGACAGCAGUCGCAAUAGCGGGUAUCUCUGCUGGGCCUCUCCCGGAGAGGAAGUUUCUGGGAUGCUGGAUUCCGUACCCUGCGGUGGAUGUAGUCGCUUUCCGAAUGGUCACCGAGCUGCACCCUUGAGAUCCGGUGACUCCCUCUAUGUGAGCUACACCUCACGAAGUUGUGCCUUCCCACGAUCUUUAGCUCACAGGCUAUGAAAGAUGUCAGGUGGAGUGGGUGUUUGGCACCAUGGUGAAGAUGCCACUUGGGAUGCCUCCUCCUAUAUCAAGGUGCCUGUGUUCAAGUCCCCAGUCUCUUUCCCACCCAGCUUCCUGCUUACGCGCACCCUGGGAGGCAGCAGAUCAAGGAUGUGGGUCCCUGUCAACCCCGUUGGAGACCUGGAUGGAGUUCUGGGCUCCUGGCUUUGACUGGGCCAGCCCCAGCUGUUGUGGGCAUUUAAAGACUGGAGCAGUGGUUGGAAGAUCUCUCUGCCUUUUUUUUAAAGAUUUUUUUAAUUUGAAAAUCAAAGUUAGAGAGAGAGAGAGAUCUUCCAUUCACUGGUUCACACCCCAGAAAGUCACAACAUCCAGGGCUGGGCCGUGCUGAAGCCAGGAGCUUCUUCCAGGUCUCCCACGUGGGU